rnacentral:rRNA from 1 species
UACGUAGGGGGCAAGCGUUGUCCGGAAUUAUUGGGCGUAAAGAGCGCGCAGGCGGUUUUACAAGUCAGAUGUGAAAUAUCCGGGCUUAACCCGGAGGGGUCAUUUGAAACUGUAAGACUAGAGUACAGCAGAGGAUAGCGGAAUUCCCGGUGUAGUGGUGAAAUGCGUAGAUAUCGGGAGGAACACCAGUGGUGAAGGCGGCUAUCUGGGCUGAAACUGACGCUGAGGCGCGAAGGCUAGGGGAGCAAACAGG